UGAGGAAUAUUGGUCAAUGGGCGAGAGCCUGAACCAGCCAAGCCGCGUGAGGGAUGACUGCGCUAAGCGUUGUAAACCUCUUUUGUCAGGGAACAAAGGCGGGGUCGAGACCCCGGAUGAGUGUACCUGAAGAAAAAGCAUCGGCUAACUCCGUGCCAGCAGCCGCGGUAAUACGGAGGAUGCGAGCGUUAUCCGGAUUUAUUGGGUUUAAAGGGUGCGCAGGCUGUCGAUUAAGUCAGCGGUGAAAGCGCGUGGCUCAACCACGUCAAGCCGUUGAAACUGGUCGACUUGAGAGAGCGAGAGGUAUGCGGAAUGCGCAGUGUAGCGGUGAAAUGCAUAGAUAUUGCGCAGAACUCCGAUUGCGAAGGCAGCAUACUGGCGCUCAUCUGACGCUCAGGCACGAAAGCGUGGGUAUCGAACAGG
rnacentral:rRNA from 1 species